CAGUAGCUUCUCUGCCUAAAGAAAUAGCAGCAGGUUUGCACCCAAAGCAAAACAAUGCAAUUCGAGGCCUAUUGUUACAAUCUGGAUGGGUUGUUGAGAAACUUCACGAUGAUUCUUGCAUGGUCACUUACGUUGUCCAGCUGGAUCCAGCAGGAUGGUUACCAAAAUGCUUCGUGAAUCGUUUCAACACAAAAUUGGUUAUGAUCAUUGAUAACCUUAAAAAGCAAGUUCUCUCAGCUAGCCCUAUUAACAGUGAUGAUAGUACAUGAUUACUACUCUGUACAAAAAAAAAAAAAAAACACAAAAAAUGGGAUGAAAAGUGAGUAAUAUUUAUAGUUUUGAAUAUAUAAAUAUGAACUUCUUUGAUCAAUAGUGAAAUCCCUCAUCCUCCUUACCCCAAUCCACCACCACUACGAAAAGGAAAAGGAAAAAUAAUCUAUUGCACCUUUAGUUAGGGAGUGGGGAAUGAGAGGGGAGGACCAUGCAUAAAGUUUUGAAAUUUUGAAUCAUAACAGUUGUAAAUAGCCAUUGAUAGCUACUACUCCUAUAGCAUGAAUUAAUUGGUGGAGUUUCCAAUA